AACAGAGACGUGUAACGGCAUAGCAACCGUAGUGUGCUAUGAGUAUUUUAUGGACGGCAGUACGAUGAGACCACACAAGAUUUGUGAGUUCCGCAAGAACAAUCUAUUCGUUCAAGUUCGAAAACUUCAAAAGAACCUCUUUGCAAUCGGGAAAAGAAACAACAGAAGCACCUCAAAAAGUCCAUUAUCCUGAAAUCCACCGGCGUUGCAACUGCACAACACACGUACCAAUCGGCUCCGGGCAGAAACGUGUCGCGUGCUGAAAUGAGCCUUUUAAGCUGACCGUUGCUGCAUUUCAACACGUUCGCAGAAAAGCCAUUCGGCCCCCAGGACAAGACACUCUCGAUCGGCUCCAUUUAUACUCACCGCCUCGCAAACUGCCUCGGAGGUGUUAAGCUGAAAAUGAUUCCUAACAAGCGGCAUCCUUUCACCGGCACGAGAGCCUUCCCGACGGCGACCAAGGGACCCUUUCGGGAAAAACAAUUGCGUGCAAUCUGAUUACGGUAAGAAGGGCUGUGUCUUGUUAUUUAAGAUCGGCACAAGUUCGUAGCCUUUGGGGAUCGAAGGAGCGUGUUAUCUUCUCUGAGUUUUGGGGCAAGAUCGUGCACAGAACUGGUCUUGUCAAUUGAAGUCAUUAAGCUAAGGACCAUUUAUCUCUUCAACAACUUCAGAAGCAAAUCCGAACAACCCUCAACACUGUCGCGCUCAACAAUCACAGCCAUCCUGUCGUUGGAACCGUUUAAAUGAACCUUUUCCCCCCCGUCAAGAAUCGAUUGAAUUCUCGAAAAAUCAAAAUAACUCUCUGCCCAACGCACUAGCCAAUCGAACCCUUCCCGGCUAUUGGUAAUUAUCGGCGAUUAUCAGCAGGUCCCCGUUUAAUCACACUUGCGCUUCGCGAGUUUCGCUUUCACGCAGGCCGACGACCACGGAGGUCAUUCUCCCCCUCCGGGCCGGCCUCCGGAGUAUCAAUCGGAAACGAGUCACAUUGCUAGGAUUGUUACCCCUUCCGAUGCAGAAAUGAUGGCGCUUUCGGUUCUACCCGUACCUGCCGGAGAUCUCUAUCUCCGACUCGAUCGCCAAUUAGAUCACAGAAUAGUCUCCAAGGUGAAUUGUUGGUGAAUUCGAUUAACCUCCACUCGAUGUCCAAUCUCGAGUGCGCUCGAUCUGGAAUGAAUUCAGAAUGCUAAAAACCAAGUUUCUUACCCCGUAAGCUCUAGCCUGGUUAACACGCAUGGUGAACAAUUUAA